rnacentral:rRNA from 1 species
CCUACGGGAGGCAGCAGUGAGGAAUAUUGGUCAAUGGACGCAAGUCUGAACCAGCCAUGCCGCGUGCAGGAAGACGGCUCUAUGAGUUGUAAACUGCUUUUGUACGAGGGUAAACGCAGAUACGCGUAUCUGACUGAAAGUAUCGUACGAAUAAGGAUCGGCUAACUCCGUGCCAGCAGCCGCGGUAAUACGGAGGAUUCAAGCGUUAUCCGGAUUUAUUGGGUUUAAAGGGUGCGUAGGCGGUCGGUUAAGUUCGAGGUGAAAUCCCGAGGCUCAACGUCGGAAUUGCCUUUGAUACUGCUCGGCUAGAGGGUAGUUGCGGUAGGCGGAAUGUGUGGUGUAGCGGUGAAAUGCUUAGAGAUCAUACAGAACACCGAUUGCGAAGGCAGCUUACCAAGCUGCUUCUGACGUUGAUGCACGAAAGCGUGGGGAGCAAACAGGAUUAGAUACCCCAGUAGUC